GGGGGCACGAACAAACACAAUCCAAAAGCAAAGGGAAAACUAAAAGAAAACCUCACCUUGUGAAGGUUUCUGAAAAUGGUUUAACCCAGGGUUUAACCCUAAAUGGGCACUUAAAUCUCCCUCCCCUUUAAUUUAUGCGUGUGCACACAUACGCACCGAUGGUGGUUUACGAGGACCAUGACCUGAGACCGACUUAGGAGGACCGGUCAGAAAUGUACGUAAAAUAGGUUAUUACCACGUAAUUCAAAACUAUAUAUAGUGAAAGUAUAUAAAUAGACUGAUUUAUGGUGUUUAAAGGCGUUUUAAUUUCAGUGAUGAUACACACUUCGGUUUACGAGGACCGGAUAGAACAAACCGUACGUGGUUUACGAGGACCGGGUAAAAACAAGCCUUACGUGGUUUACGAGGACCGGGUAAAACUAAGCACACAUGGUUUACAUGGUCCACGUUGAGCUAGCGCAUAUCAUUUAAGAUAUGUCAUAUGUGAUAUAUUUAAUUAGCGUUAGAGAGAUCACCAUGUUGAGGUCGAGAGUUCUAUGAUUUCUGACCGUGGUUGCCUGUCAGCACAUCAUUUGGGUUAAUUUAGCAAUACGUCUCUUCAGUAAAAUAAUUAAAAAUGAAUACACUUUUGCGCUAUGCGGGAUUGCUAUUUUUUUUUUUUUUAAUAAAACCCUGACAGCUACAGUAAAAACCUACAAUGAUUUGACUUUUUUUAUUUUUGUGUUUUCACUCACGGGAACCCUGCGUCUAUUUUUCGCGCGUUUUGCUCUUGCAACUCGCGGCCAUCAGCCAACACGGUGGUUUGGCAAAUGUUUUGCCUUUUUUUUCGUCGUGAAAACCAAGAAAGAUCGACACACUAUAAUAUAAAGAUGUACAAACGAUGGAUAGAAGGAUAAACAAUGGAAUUUGAAAGAAGGUGAAUCUCACUUACAAGAUAGACUCCGAGAAAGCUACCAGCUUAGAAGCAUGAUGCUAGGGCAGGAUUUAUGUAAGGCAAUUGUAUUAAUGCAGCUCAGCAAAAAUUAACACAACCUGAGUAACAAACAGAUAGAUAAUAAUUUUACAAAUGAAAAUUUUCUAAAAAAACUGAACCAGAAUAAUAUAAUAAACUAAAGUAGUAAAAAAUUUUGAAAACAAGUUCUAGAGCUUAUUUUAUUCAUUCCUUCACGAAGUGGGCUGAAACAAAUGUGCCAAUCCGGUCGCCUAGUCCAUGGAACGUUGGUAAAAAUAGGUUUUCUUUUUUUUUUGCACACAAAUAUCAUGCUUAAUGUACCGUGAACCCCCUAAUAAUUUAAUAUGGGGAUCUAGUGUGUCUAUGGUUCUCUACAAGGAGGGUCAGUGUUUCGGACCUUUCAGAAAAGGGUACAUUUCAAAGACUAUUAGCCGAAAAAGCAAAGAAGAGGAAGUUUCUAAAACUUUUCAGCUAAUAUUUGCAAUAUUAUAUAUAUAUAGAAUGUAUAGUGUUUUAAUGUAUAGACUUAAAUUCUGAAGAGAAUAAAAAACACCCAUUUUGCUGUA